rnacentral:rRNA from 1 species
AGCGAACGCUGGCGGCAGGCCUAACACAUGCAAGUCGAACGAAGUCUUCGGACUUAGUGGCGGACGGGUGAGUAACACGUGGGAACGUGCCUUUAGGUUCGGAAUAACCCAGGGAAACUUGUGCUAAUACCGAAUGAGCCCUUCGGGGGAAAGAUUUAUCGCCGCAAGAUCGGCCCGCGUUGGAUCAGGUAGUUGGUGUGGUAAAGGCGCACCAAGCCUACGAUCCAUAGCUGGUCUGAGAGGAUGAUCAGCCACACUGGGACUGAGACACGGCCCAGACUCCUACGGGAGGCAGCAGUGGGGAAUCUUGCGCAAUGGGCGAAAGCCUGACGCAGCCAUGCCGCGUGAAUGAUGAAGGUCUUAGGAUUGUAAAAUUCUUUUACCAGGGACGAUAAUGACGGUACCUGGAGAAAAAGCCCCGGCUAACUUCGUGCCAGCAGCCGCCGUAAAAC